UACGUAGGGGGCUAGCGUUGUCCGGAAUUACUGGGCGUAAAGAGCUCGUAGGUGGUUUGUCGCGUUGUUCGUGAAAACUCACAACUCAAUUGUGGGCGUGCGGGCGAUACGGGCAGACUGGAGUACUGCAGGGGAGACUGGAAUUCCUGGUGUAGCGGUGGAAUGCGCAGAUAUCAGGAGGAACACCGGUGGCGAAAGGCGGGUCUCUGGGCAGUAACUGACGCUGAGGAGCGAAAGCGUGGGGAGCGAACAGG
rnacentral:rRNA from 1 species